CAGUAGUUGCUGUGGUAACUUUUCAACUUGAAACGGUCAGAAGUCAAGUGAAGUGUAAUCAGUACCAGUGAAUCAGAUUUAGCACCUACCAACAUUCAUUCUCCCUUUGCCUAGAUUUCAGCCAUGAAGUGGUUGUGCUGCUUAGAAAGGCAGACGGUCCAUAAUUGUAAUGUGUUCUACUGUGGGUGGCUGAGUAAUUGCAUGGGAACACAAUCCCCAAGGGAGCAUCAGGACAUUCAAAACCAGGACCAAGACCAGAUUUCUUCAUCUAAGCCAUCACCCCCAUUUCUUUUGCACAGUAAUCUGCCUGCCUGCCAGUCUCUGUUUUCCGCUGCUGUCUCGCUACCUGUCACCUGUGUUGCUCCCGCCCUGCUUGUUAUCCCCUGUGUAUAAAUGUUUCGUGUUUCUGUUCAUUCCCUUUCUGGUCAUUGUUCGUGUUACGCCCUGUCUGUAGUGGCUUCAGUUUCCCUGUCUCGUUCAGUGUUUUGUCCUGCUAUUUCCCAGCUCAUGUUCCCGUCUGUCUCAUGGAGU